UGCGUAGGUGGCGUGGUAAGUCGGGUGUGAAAUUUCGGAGCUUAACUCCGAAACUGCAUUCGAUACUGCCGUGCUUGAGGACUGGAGAGGAGACUGGAAUUUACGGUGUAGCAGUGAAAUGCGUAGAGAUCGUAAGGAAGACCAGUGGCGAAGGCGGGUCUCUGGACAGUUCCUGACACUGAGGCACGAAGGCCAGGGGAGCAAACG
rnacentral:rRNA from 1 species